CGUUCCUAUGAGUCUGCAUUGCUUGGAAACUAGCUGGAUCACUUUGCUAACUUUGACAGGCACUGUAGCUGAAUUGAAGAAGGAAGCAACAGCUCUGCUUUGAUGUUGUGCCAUUACUGAUCAUGUAGGUGGGACUUACUUCAAAGGGGAUUGUCCGCCUUUUCUCUCUCUGCGCUCUAUAAGGCUGGCUUUAAUUGCAGAGCGAGGGCUUCUUCAGGGCUCUUAGCAUUCUCCUUUUAAAAAUGAACUGCCAUAUCAAAGACAUCCAUCCACUUUUAUUGCUGAGGUAAGCAAGUACCAAAACUGAAGCCAACCCUUUUGUUUCUCCCAAUUCUUUUCUUUUCUUUCUUUCUUUUUCUCGAACUGACCGUUGGUGUCAAUGCGGUACAAAAAUCUGAAGAGAGAUGAAGAGAGAAAUCAAAGCCACAGUCAAAUCUCAAAUGGUUGAGUAAUCAGGGUGGGGUGCUUUUGAUAAAAAUCAAGACUCCUUCCAGUCACGCUCAGUUCUUGGCGACUUUGGCAUGUUUGUUUUGUUGACAACAGUUCUGUAGAAGAAUAUUGCCAUUGCCUUCUUCCAAAAUGUUACAGCUAGGGUUGUCUUGUUGACUCUUCCCUCUUGUCUUCACCCUGGCAUUCCCUGAUUCUCUCAUGUAAAUAGGAAUCAAAAUUAAUGCUUGUUAUGCCCUGUGAUGUUUUGCUGUUUCAGUUGACAGACUACCUGGUUAAAUACAGUGUCUCCUCUGACUGGGAGUGGAAGGACAGAAACCUUGAGAGUUUUGAUUGGCUGAGGAAUGAGCAGCGACUGAUGGAGGCUGACCCAAUUGGUCACAUGAUCAUGCUUCUCCAAAAGAGCAGAAGCACAAUAUGCUAUUAUUUUGUGUUGGCUUAAGCAGGAAAGAUUGGCUCUAUUUUUGGUAUGGGAAAGACUAGUGUAAAACAGCUUAAAUCAUAGGCUGUGGAUUAGAUGAUGCAACUUCAUGGGAUUAAGGAAGAAACACAGAGCUGGCCAGGUGUCCCAAAGCCAAAGUAAACCACAGUGAGGAAAGGGCUUUAUAUAACUCAUUGAAAUGAUACAUUUUCCCCUUUUGGCAGUCUAGGAGCAAGAUACCCCUUGGACGAGUACCAUUUUGGAAUAAUAUGUGGGAGAAUGUGUAUUGUACACAGAUUUUUUUUAGGGUCUGUUUUCAGCUGUGUUGCAGGUCUGGUUUUGGCACUCUAUUUGUGUUUCACACAAAUUGUGAAUUGGUGAAUUAACCCCUUCCAAAAUACAGAUGGAAUGCAUCCUUACUGGUUGCCUCCAAGCUUUCACACUGUCACUACAACAUCAUUCUAAAUAAUGGCCUCACGUCACAUGUCUCUAGAUAAGCUGAAAAAAUUAAUGGGAACUAGAAGAUUCCACUUUACCAAGUAAAUUGCUUACUAACAAAUAAAAGUCUAAAAGGUACCCUCACUGGGACACUGUCGAAACACAAUCAACAUUAACAAGUAAAAUCUAGCAAAACUACAAGGAGGCAAUAAAAUUAAUAUACACCGUGAUCAAGUUUCAAUAGACACUUACAGAAGUAUCAGAUCCUAAACUUGUAAACCCUUCUCAUCUCUCUUGGCAAGUAGGAUUUGACACAAAACAGUUUUUCUUAAUGUGUCAGAUGACACAAUGAAAAGAUGGAGGCAGCGAUGUUUGCAGGGGGACUCAGUACUGGCAACGUGGCAGAUGAAGCAUCACAAUGCAAGUUUAGUUCCUUCGGAAUCUGUCUGUGUGUGACAUCAAAGCAGGUACAAAAGGGGUGUGGCUUGUAUUGGGAUGCUCAUUCCAUCACCUGUGACUCUUCCCCUGCAGAUGCUGUUGGGUGAAGAGGAGCAAGUUCAUAGAUCUUCUGGUAAAGCAGCCUUUGUGACAAGUCAUGUCCACUCUACUUGCUCCAUGGCAAUGAUCCAAAUCUGUCCAUUAAUUCAACAGGAUGCCUUAUCCUUUUGUUCCUAUUUUAUCACAUUAAAAUCAGAAGGGGUCGACAUUUUAAACUUUCCAGAGAAGCCUACAGGGAUGGGAAUUAGUUUAGUCAAUGUCUGUAUUUUUAAUAAGCUAUUAAAUCAGAAUUAAAAAUGACUACCAAGAAGAAACAGAUCGAUGUCUGAUAGCUUUCUGGUAUUUUACCACCCAUGUUUCUUUACAUCUGAAUCCACUUGCCUGCUCUCCUAAUUCCAAAUGAACUUUCAUCUCUUGUUUAAUGAUAUAUUGAAAGACGUGCUGACAGGGCUCCUCUCACAUUUUCCUUUUAAAAAGGCUGCCAGAUCAUAGAUUCACAACUUCAAGUCACAGUAGACUAUUGUCAAUUUACUUGCCUUUUGGUAAUUUAAUCUUACCUCAACUUCUAUCAUUCUGGCUUGCCUUGCUAUUAUUAUUUUUUUCAAAAAUGCAACAAGAUUUAGAAGGUGUAUAGAGUCAUUCCAAAAGCUGUUUGAUUUUCUAAAAUAUAGAUCAAAUGCAAUUUCCCUUGUCACUGAACAAAAUAUUGUGACAUGAAUUUUCUCUAAGUGCUGUAAUUAUAAUAUGGUUAGUGUUCUGGAGAGACAGACUUAGGAGUGGUCUUUGAAAACUUCACAAGUUGCUAUGAAAGAUGUCUCCUAACUGAAUCCAACAACCUUCCCCUGAAACAACACUUAAUAUGAAAAAGAUAAAGUCUCCUUUGAGUUGAGUACAACUCUUCAUAUUUCAUAUCCAUGUACUUUUCUUGGCAAUAUUCCAGUAGGAUUUACUACUGCCUUCUUUUGGAAUUGUUUUUCAGUUUCCUGGUUUAGACUUCAGUUCUAGGACUCUCGGGGGUCUUGUUACUAAUAGUAUAUUAGUGAGGUCUAACCCUUCUUAGCUUUUAAAGAUCCACCAAAGGCAGCAUGGUGUUGCCUUCUUUUGUUGCAUCAUUUGUUGUAUCUUUUGUUUGACCAUGUCGUAUUAGUAGUAGGUAUGACACAGCUUUCUUUAACUUGGAACUUUCCAGAUGCAUAGGAUUACAUCUCCUGUCAUCCGUAGCCAGCAUGUCCAAAGGGUGUGUCACUAGGGAUGAUGUGCAUUGGAAUCCAACACAUCAAGAAGUCUUCAAACUGGAGAAAACUGGACCUACACCUAUCCUAAUGAAUCUCACUGAUGUUUAAUCGCCUAUCAAUCACACUAAUUGCUACAGCCGUGCUGUUGUGUGCAGCAACUCUGCCCAUGCUCAGAAGCAAAUUCUUCUGUCUGCAAAGGGGCCGGAGCUCAUCUCCGUUUCAAAGCCGAAGAGCCAGCGCUGUCCGAAGACGUCUCUGUGGUCAUGUGGCCAGCAUGACUCAACGCCAAAGGCGCACGGAAUGCUGUUACCUUCCCACCAGAGAUGGUCCCUAUUUUUUCUACUUGUAUUUUUUACGUGCUUUCAAACUUCUAGGUUGGCAGAAGCUGGGACAAGUAACGGGAGCUCACCCUGUUACAUGGCAGCACUAGGGAUUCGAACCGUUGAACUGCCGACCUUUUGAUCGGCAAGCUCAGCGUCUUAGCCCCUGAGCCACUACGUCCCUAUAGAAAUUAGCUAGUAGUAUAUAAAAUGUAUGUGUAUAUAAUUGGUUAAAAGAUAAAAUAGGUAUUACCAAGAUGCCGGUAUUGGGAAGCUGUAAAAAUGUAACAAAGAUGUUAAAGAUGUAAAU